rnacentral:rRNA from 1 species
AUUGAACGCUGGCGGAAUGCUUUACACAUGCAAGUCGAACGGCAGCACGGACUUCGGUCUGGUGGCGAGUGGCGAACGGGUGAGUAAUGUAUCGGAACGUGCCCAGUCGUGGGGGAUAACGUAGUGAAAAUUACGCUAAUACCGCAUACGAUCUAUGGAUGAAAGCGGGGGAUCGCAAGACCUCGCGCGAUUGGAGCGGCCGAUAUCAGAUUAGGUAGUUGGUGGGGUAAAGGCCCACCAAGCCAACGAUCUGUAGCUGGUCUGAGCGGACGACCAGCCACACUGGAACUUAGACACGGUCCAGACUCCUACGGGAGGCAGCAGUGGGGAAUUUUGGACAAUGGGCGAAAGCCUGAUCCAGCCAUUCCGCGUGCAGGAUGAAGGCCCUCGGGUUGUAAACUGCUUUUGUACAGAACGAAAAGGUUUCUACUAAUACUAGGAGCUCAUGACGGUACUGUAAGAAUAAGCACCGGCUAACUACGUGCCAGCCGCCGCAGUAA